rnacentral:misc_RNA from 1 species
AGGAUGCUGAAUCCAUUGGAAAUUAAGAUUUUAGAAUGUCCCAAGAAGCCCAUGAAGAAUCCAGCAUGAUCUUUAUGCUUGUGCUAGCCUUAUUUUUUUAUUUAUGAAAUAAUAAGGUAGGAUGGUUUUCAUGGACAAAGUAUUGCCUCAGACUGCUUGAUUCUUUUGUCCAUCAAAAUUUUACAAGUCGAAUAUGAGAAUCAAGCACAAGGACAAUGCAGACAUAACAUCCAUCCAAAUAUGGAACAGAAACAGAAGAAUUAUAU